UCAGUCAGCAGCAGCACCACAGCAACGGUAGGACUUUACACACUUCACAUACUGAAUACCGUGACCAUGUCUGAUGUCCGGUCUACAAUCUGGAGGGGAAUAAAUGUGUUUCUAAGUUUAUUUGUUAGGAUCCAUGUGGUCACUUCGGGGGAAACCUUUGGAGCUCAUCGCACUGUGCUGAACCAGCUGGAGAAGAAGAUAGCACUGAUAAAAACAGACAGGCACAGAAACUGCAUCACUAUGCUUUUUUGUCCGGUCACUUCUCGUGUUGGGUCAGAUGUGGAAGCAGCCAUUAAUUUGGUCAGAGGACAUGAUAAGGUAAUUCUGGUCCUGAUGCAUCAUACCCGAGAUGAGAACUACUCCACAGCUGGGAUGGACUGGUCAGAAAGCUUUCGAAAUGUGAUCUUGAGUGUUCACGUCCUAUUCCAUGAGACCGUGGCAGGGCUACUGCCAUGUUCAGAAAACAACAUGGCGGUGAACAAAAUUAUAAAGGUAUUGCAUUACGACAGCGAAAUUAGCUGGAGAAGAAGUUUGCCGAAAAUCUGUGCAGGAUUAACAGUAACAUCCUUGGUUCUUUAUUUGUUUUUUUAUAAAAAAAUAACUUUUCAUUUUUUUCGAUAAAAAGGAAAACUUCUAAUUUGAACAAGGGUCCAGGUCAGUUGGUCCCAUCGACAAUUUUUAUGACCUUCUGAUAACUGUACUUUGCAUUAUCCUUUAUGCUGUUAUAUGAAUGCCAUGUACUACACUGUUUAUUUUUUCAUACUUUCAUAUGGGCCAGUGUACAGACAAAAUAAGGCAAAUGAUGGCCUUAUAUUAAACUCAUAACUCUGCAGAAGCUUUGGUGAAUUUGUGGUGCAUACUUUUACUGAAAUCAUAUAAACACUUUUCUGUCAUGUAUCGUCAAAAAGCUUCCAACACAGACUAGCAAUUAUUAAUAACUUUGACCCUUUAUGUCAGAAAAGUCAUGGGUCACAUACCAUGUUUACUCUCACAUCAUGCAGCUGAGAUUGCAUAACUUUAUUGAUGUGAUGUGAAACUGAGUGUUCAGAGCUCUAAACACGAAUAAAGCUUUUG